rnacentral:rRNA from 1 species
AGACAGCAGUCGCCGCGGUAAUACGUAGGUCCCGAGCGUUGUCCGGAUUUAUUGGGCGUAAAGCGAGCGCAGGCGGUUAGAUAAGUCUGAAGUUAAAGGCUGUGGCUUAACCAUAGUAUGCUUUGGAAACUGUUUAACUUGAGUGCAGAAGGGGAGAGUGGAAUUCCAUGUGUAGCGGUGAAAUGCGUAGAUAUAUGGAGGAACACCGGUGGCGAAAGCGGCUCUCUGGUCUGUAACUGACGCUGAGGCUCGAAAGCGUGGGGAGCAAACAGGAUUAGAUACCCCCGUAGUCCCUGUCUCUUAUACA